CAUUCAUUGCCAGCUGCCUUCAUCCUCAAAAAUGCCAAAAAAGAAGUGUGUGCUUUUACAGAUGAGGAGGCUGAGGAAGUAACAGGCCUGGGAUUUGAACCUGGGUCCAAUUACUGUAUAGCCCGACCUCUCUCUAUAACAAUGUAGUGAAGACCACGAUGGGGUCUCCUCUGUACCUGAUGCCUAGAAGAGUGACAGCCGUCUUGUGACAGGGAGGACAAAGCCCCGGAGGCAGCCUGCACAUCGCCCUCCUCCUUUUCCUGCACAUCAGCUGUACAGCUUGGCUCUGAUGAUUUUUUCCUCCACUUUCUCCGAGCCCAGUGUCCUUCAGUUCAAGCCCCAGCAUCUCCUGCCUCGACAACUGGCCUCCCCUCCCCACCCCUGCUGCCUGCCAAUCCAUUAUCCUUAUGAUAGACCAUCUUAUUUGGGGUCUCCUAAAAGCCUGAGGACCUUUGUACAUGCUGAUCCUGCUGCCUGGUCCUUCCAUGUCACCUACAUGAUGCCUACCCAUCUUCAGAUCUCUAGGCAGCCCAAUACCAUCGCCCAGGCUGUGUCUUCAGGGCCCCAGGGGAUGGUGAAGCCACAAAGUGAAACCCAGAUGCCUGAGUCAGCGUGUGGAAGGAAGGCCACGUGCCAAACCAUCCACAUUGGAUUAUUUUACAAGCAAGAAAGAGCAUCCAUUUCGUUGUGUAUUACAGCAGUUAGAUUACUUUGAUUAAUAUACUAUUUUCACACACAUUUUAUAGGUGACAGAAAAGAGACUCAGAGAGAAGUGAAGUGACUUGCCCAGGGUUGCAUAGCCAGAUGUGGCAGAGCCGGGAUUCUAACUUCAGAACAUAUACAAAAUGUAACUGACACUGCUUUCCACAGGUCUUUAAUAAAUAUUUGUUGAAUGAAUACAGUGAGUAGUCUUGAUUCCCUAGCCUUUAUGUUAAGAACCUAGGGGAAAAGUAGCUCAAAAAUAAAUCACAGGGUGACAAAAAAAUAAAAUCAAAAUGCAUGAGUCUCCUCCACUAUAUUGUAAGUUUCUGGAAGACAUAGGCUUUACUG